GACGUAGGGGGCGAGCGUUGUCCGGAAUCAUUGGGCGUAAAGAGCGCGUAGGCGGCCAGAUAAGUCCGGUGUGAAAGUCAAAGGCUCAACCUUUGAAUGCCGCUGGAAACUGUCUGGCUAGAGUCCGGGAGGGGCGAGUGGAAUUCCUGGUGUAGCGGUGAAAUGCGCAGAUAUCAGGAAGAACACCAAUGGCGAAGGCAGCUCUCUGGGACGGUACUGACGCUGAGACGCGAAAGCGUGGGGAGCGAACAGG
rnacentral:rRNA from 1 species